rnacentral:rRNA from 1 species
UACAGAGGUCCCAAGCGUUGUUCGGAUUCACUGGGCGUAAAGGGCGCGUAGGCGGCUUGCACCCGUCAGAUGUGAAAAUUCCCUGGGCUUAAACCCUGGGGGGCUGCAUUUGAUACGUGUGGGCUUGAGUGCGGAAGAGGGUCGUGGAAUUCCCCAGUGUAGAGGUGAAAUUCGUAGAUAUUGAGAAGAACACCGGUGGCGAAGGCGGCGACCUGGUCCGUGACUGACGCUGAGGCGCGAAAGCGUGGGGAGCAAACAGG